UUGACUAUUUUAUGUCUGCUCAGAAGAUACAGUAGAUAUAGAGUCUUAAUCCUCCGGCAGGCACCUCCGAAGAGGCUACAGCCCCGCCCUGGGGCCGCCUGCCGAAGCAACGAUAUAGGUAAGUUCACAUAGGGUUUGGGAGUUUUUCAACUCUGUAAUGAUCCCUCCGCUGGUUCACCAACGGAGA
rnacentral:misc_RNA from 1 species